AUAUCGACAAAACAGGAUUGGCUCAAGAAAUCUGACACAUAGAUCUUGGUGGCAGGGACUGCAAGACGACUUUAGCCUGAAGAACUGGUUCAAACUGCUACUGUCGGAUCUCUCCAGUCAUUGGUUAGAACUGACGUUGGCCAGAAGAUGUCACCUGAGCUUUGCAAAAGGAGAGCUGUGUUAUGACUUCAGUCUCUUUGCUAUUAUGUAUUUGUUCAUAUGCUUCAGGUGCUCUUGAAAAAUGGAGAAAAAAAACCCACCAAUCACCUACACACAUCUUAAAAAAUUCUGUGGUUUAUUAGUACUUCUAACUUGUGAACUGGGUAAUCUGAGCAAAAGUUUGAUUAAUUCUUUGCCAAGACCAAGC